rnacentral:rRNA from 1 species
UGGACCUACGGGGCGCAGCAGUGAGGAAUAUGGGUCAAUGGCCGCAGGGCUGAACCAGCCAAGUCGCGUGAGGGAUGACGGUCCUAUGGAUUGUAAACCUCUUUUGUCAGGGAGCAAAGGGCGCCACGUGUGGCGCUUUGCGAGUACCUGAAGAAAAAGCAUCGGCUAACUCCGUGCCAGCAGCCGCGGUAAUACGGAGGAUGCGAGCGUUAUCCGGAUUUAUUGGGUUUAAAGGGUGCGCAGGCGGUCUGUUAAGUCAGCGGUCAAAGCCCGGGGCUCAACCCCGGCCCGCCGUUGAAACUGGC